UAGGGAAUCUUCCGCAAUGGGCGAAAGCCUGACGGAGCAACGCCGCGUGAGUGAUGAAGGUCUUCGGAUCGUAAAACUCUGUUAUUAGGGAAGAACAAAUGUGUAAGUAACUAUGCACGUCUUGACGGUACCUAAUCAGAAAGCCACGGCUAACUACGUGCCAGCAGCCGCGGUAAUACGUAGGUGGCAAGAGUUAUCCGGAAUUAUUGGGCGUAAAGCGCGCGUAGGCGGUUUUUAAGUCUGAUGUGAAAGCCCACGGCUCAACCGUGGAGGGUCAUUGGAAACUGGCAAACUUGAGUGCAGAAGAGGAAAGUGGAAUUCCAUGUGUAGCGGUGAAAUGCGCAGAGAUAUGGAGGAACACCAGUGGCGAAGGCGACUUUCUGGUCUGUAACUGACGCUGAUGUGCGAAAGCGUGGGGAUCAAACAGG
rnacentral:rRNA from 1 species